GGGGUGGGUACGCAUAUGGAAAGAAAUGCAGGACUGCAUUUCAUUUCUUCCAUGGUUCGACGCCGGAUCCAGGAGAUACUGUGGAAUGGGUUGGAAGGAGGAGUGAUCUCUGUCUCGCCCUCGAGCAUCUUGACCACCGCGCUCAUUGACGGCCUCUGCUGAAUGCACUAGAACACCACCUUGCACAUCCUCUCCACCAGCCCUCUGCAACGCGAGUCAUGGUGGACCGUUGCCACCAUGAGCUCCAUCAGCUCACUGGCUUCGUACCUGGCCCAUGCGACUAUGGGGUACCAUCGCUGGCUGCUCUUUGGCAUGGCAACGGCGUCUUGGUCACUACCAUGCUCGACGAUCUUCGGGAGGAGCAUGCUGAAGCUGUAGACAUCACACUUCUCGAUGAUAUGUAGCUCCAUCCAAACCUCUGGUGUGGCGUACCUGAAAGUGCCGCGCGCAUGGGACAGAGGCAUGCUUGUCGGCAUGGUGGACAAGGCUUGCAAAGCCAAAGUCACCCACCUUGGGCGUGAGGGUGCCGUCGAGGAGGGGGUGGUGGUGGAUACAAAAAUGCUUCUCUUGGAUCCUGGCAACUACGGCGGCGAUAGCCUAAAUCAAGGGGGUGGAGCACCUGCCAAGUGAUCUCAACCUUGAUUG